rnacentral:rRNA from 1 species
GACGAACGCUGGCGGCGUGCCUAAUACAUGCAAGUAGAACGCUGAAGGAGGAGCUUGCUUCUCUGGAUGAGUUGCGAACGGGUGAGUAACGCGUAGGUAACCUGCCUGGUAGCGGGGGAUAACUAUUGGAGACGAUAGCUAAUACCGCAUAAGAGUAGAUGUUGCAUGACAUUUGCUUAAAAGGUGCAAUUGCAUCACUACCAGAUGGACCUGCGUUGUAUUAGCUAGUUGGUGGGGUAACGGCUCACCAAGGCGACGAUACAUAGCCGACCUGAGAGGGUGAUCGGCCACACUGGGACUGAGACACGGCCCAGACUCCUACGGGAGGCAGCAGUAGGGAAUCUUCGGCAAUAGACGGAAGUCUGACCGAGCAACGCCGCGUGAGUGAAGAAGGUUUUCGGAUCGUAAAGCUCUGUUGUAAGAGAAGAACGAGUGUGAGAGUGGAAAGUUCACACUGUGACGGUAUCUUACCAGAAAGGGACGGCUAACUACGUG